CCUGUUUACUCUGUCCACCACGGUUUCUUGAGUGUCCUCAUCAAGGCCUCCACAAUCGUCUUCAUAUCUCAUCACUUGAAUGAUCACUGAGUCAUCCUCUUGCUUUUACUCUGUCAUAACACACUCAUCGCCCAUGAAACUAUCUUGUCCUUUCGGUAGAUAUCAUCCUUGUCCAGAUUCCUCAAAUCUUUCUCGAUCUUCGUCUUCCCAAGUACUGAUGAAGUCCUUUCCCAACGAAGUCUUGUUUCCGCCCAUCUGUCCAAUCCCCACCACUGUCCAGUCCCUCUGAAACUGUCUCUCCUCUUUCGCUUCGGGUUUGGGUUUGGCCUCAAACUCCCUCCACUUUAAGGUUUUCAUCCCUUAAAAUUCCGAUCAACAAACACACUUAGUCGCUGCAACUCAACAGAACACUUUACACACAAGUUAGUAGACAACUAACCAAUAAUCUACUAACCCAUAAAUCUAACAACAACCUAACCGCAGUUCUAACCAAGCAACCUAGCAGUUCUAACCAAGCAACCUAGCAAUUUUAGAUUCCGCUAUCACAAUCCUAAUUCCUACAACCACAAAUCCUAUCGCUGGACGUGACCGGUUUCCCUAAUGCCUUUUGUGACUCAUUUUGACUCGAUAAACAUUUAAAACCGAUUAAAUCAUGAGUUCCGGAAGCAUGGAUGAAACCAUUCUCUGAUACCACCUCUGUACACCCCCGAACCGUCCUAAGCAUAGGUCGAUCCACCUGCCAACAAUCAAACAAGAACAUGACCGACGGACGACCCACACCAAGGGUUGGCGAUGAAAGGCCAACCGGCCAGCCAACAAUCAAACAAGAACAAGACUGACCGUCCAACCCAACAACAUGGUCCGGAAGCGCUACGUGGCUAUGGAAGAUCCGGUCAGAGUCAAAAACUUUACUCCACGACCUAGACCAGUUCAUUUCACUAACUCGUCCCACUGCGUCAAGGCAUAAGGCUUUGCAACCCGUACCUAGAGUUAGCGUUUUCCGUUAGAUCAAGGCCUAAGGUUUUUCAACCCGUACCUCGACCUAACGUUGUGUUAGACCGGAUUAGUCAAAUAUCAGAGUACUCAUGAAGCGCAUAUAAAACGAUUACAUUUAUUUAUUUAGGAAAUAUUCAUACAUUGAAUAAUUCGAGACUGGGCCCGGCCUAAUGCCAAAUCGAGCCAACAAAACAAAUAACUCAAUACCGUUUAGAAAAGGCAUGAAAAUCUACACCGGCGGUCCUAACGUCCAGCACCAAGCUAUCCGAUCAUCCUUACCUAAAGCGACCUGCAAAAAGGACAACGGAGUUGGAUGAGUAACCUAAUGUUACUCAGUGAAUCAUGAUCCCCAUCUAACAAAUACAACCCAUCGCUAUCCCACCCCAAACAAUCUAAAGCGAGGGGUUCACCUAAUACCACAAUUCCUUAACAACAAUCAAAAUCCAAAAUACGCAGCGGAUAAUAAUAGCAAGAUAAUUAACGAUAUGAAAUCAUAACCGCUAAUGACAAGCUAACCACUUAAACUCAAACUCAAAUCAAUCUAGGGUUCAACAACCCUCUACACUAUCUACACUAUAACUAGUGCCCUUUGUGACUUAGAGUUCCUCCUCUAUCCUCGGCAAUAUCCUAUCUCCCUACCACAAAGGCCAGAAAAAGGAACUUUCAACCGAACGCGGCCCACAAUACAGUCGGGUCACCGCGCGACAGCCCCAGUACAGUCGGGCCACUGUCGGUUGUCACACGAUGAUCGCGGCCCACAGUACGGUCAGGUCACCCCGAGACAGCCCCAGCAUAGUCGGGUCACUGCCGGUCACUACCCCGUCCGUUUAACCACUCAGCCAUAGGUCAUGACCUCGUCUCUCUUAGUGCUCUCGAUCCAGCGAAUAAGGGGUUUCCUUAAACCCACUGGGUACGAGGUCGAGGAAACACUAAUCCACCUCAAACAUGCCUAGCAUGGUGGGUUUCACAAAAGCUAUAUGGCAUCACACUCUAACUCUACAAUACAAUAAUAUUAUCACUAAACAACUCAACCAGUUAGUCACUCCCUUACCAAGAGCUGACUAACCUCAAACAACAAGCAAGCAUUCAGCAUUCGCUAACUAACCAAUCAACCUAACCAUUAGCAUGCUACUAUGAUUCCAAAGCAAUAACUAAGCAUGCUAUCAACUCAAUCAACCAAUACUCAACUAUUAACUAAUCAAACCGUUACUCAGUUAGAUCCGGCCUCCUGCCAAGAUCCAACUUCCAAGUAACGGGAACCUGCAUGAAAACAAGUCAGCAAUCAGUUGAUCACAACUCACAGUGUUCUUUGCCGAUAAAUAGCUGGUUGAUCGGAGAAGACUUGGCCAAAACCCAAUGGACGACGUGACUGGACUGGACUGGACUGAUCUCGACUUGGACAGAACCUCUGCUUCACCAUGUACACAUUGAUAGGUCUGGACGGACGGAUCUGAACUCGGACAGAACCUUCAUUAGCUUCUGGACAGUUCUUCGGACUUCUCGC
rnacentral:lncRNA from 1 species